rnacentral:rRNA from 1 species
AAUGGCCUAAUGGCUGAACCAGCAAUUUGGAGGAAUGUAUAGGGAAUACUGUAAAAGGUUUUCCUAGCGGUUUAGCCGCAUAAAGUUCUAGGUAUAAUCAGAUAAUGACUAGUUAUGCCUAAAAGUCUUGACAAAAUCACGUGCCAGCAGUCGCGGUAAUACGGGAAAGACGAGUGUUAUUCAUCUUUAGUAGGUUUAAAGGGUACCUAGACUGCUAAUCUAGCCUUUUCUAAGAGGGAACAGAUUAGCUAGAGUUUUAUGGGAAAGGUUAAUGUCAGUACUGACGGAGUAGAGAUGAAAUUCUUUGAUACUGUAGGGAACUGGUAACGGCGUAGGCAAACCUUUAUGUAUAAACUGACGUUGAGGGACGAAGGCUUGGGUAACAAACAGGAUUAGAUACCCUAAUAGUCCAGGCAGACAAUGAUGAGUGCCAUAGAUUAGAUACAAUUUGAUCUAUAAAUGAAAGUGUAAGCAUUCCACCUCAAGAGUAACGUGGCAACACUGGAACUGAAAUCAUUAGACCGUGUCUAAAACCAGUAGUGAAGUAUGUUAUUUAAUUCGAUGGUCCGCGUAGAACCUUACCACAAUUUGAAUAUUAUAGUGACUAAGUUGUUUAUAAUACAGGUGUUGCACGGCUGUCUUUAGUUGAUGUCGUGAGAUGCAGGUUAGCUCCAUUUAAUCAACGUAAACCCUUACUUUAUUUUUAAAAUAAAGUAGUUCCCCGGUAUAUCGGAAAGAUAAUUGGGAUCAAGACAAGUACUCGCGGCCCUAAUAUUG